rnacentral:rRNA from 1 species
AACGCUGGCGGCGUGCUUAACACAUGCAAGUCGAGCGACGCUCUCCCUUCGGGGGGAUGACGGAGCGGCGAACGGGUGAGUAACACGUGGGCAACCUGCCCCUCGCUCUGGGACAACCCGGGGAAACUCGGGCUAAUACCGGAUACGACCGACUCGGGCAUCCGAUGUUGGUGAAAAGUUUUUCGGCGAGGGAUGGGCCCGCGGCCUAUCAGCUUGUUGGUGGGGUGAUGGCCUACCAAGGCGACGACGGGUAGCCGGCCUGAGAGGGCGACCGGCCACACUGGGACUGAGACACGGCCCAGACUCCUACGGGAGGCAGCAGUGGGGAAUAUUGCGCAAUGGGCGAAAGCCUGACGCAGCGACGCCGCGUGAGGGAUGACGGCCUUCGGGUUGUAAACCUCUUUCAGCAGGGACGAAUUCAGAGUGACGGUACCUGCAGAAGAAGCACCGGCCAACUACGUGCCAGCAGCCGCGGUAAUACGUAGGGUGCAAGCGUUGUCCGGAAUUAUUGGGCGUAAAGAGCUCGUAGGCGGUCUGUCGCGUCGGCUGUGAAAACUCGGGGCUCAGCCCCGAGCCUGCAGUCGAUACGGGCAGACUAGAGUGCUGUAGGGGAGACUGGAAUUCCUGGUGUAGCGGUGAGAUGCGCAGAUAUCAGGAGGAACACCGGUGGCGAAGGCGGGUCUCUGGGCAGUAACUGACGCUGAGGAGCGAAAGCGUGGGGAGCGAACAGGAUUAGAUACCCUGGUAGUCCACGCCGUAAACGGUGGGUGCUAGGUGUGAGCGGUAUUCCGCGCCGUUCGUGCCGCAGCUAACGCAUUAAGCACCCCGCCUGGGGAGUACGGCCGCAAGGCUAAAACUCAAAGGAAUUGACGGGGGCCCGCACAAGCAGCGGAGCAUGUGGCUUAAUUCGACGCAACGCGAAGAACCUUACCAAGGCUUGACAUACACCGAAAACUCGUAGAGAUACGGGGUCCGCAAGGGCGGUGUACAGGUGGUGCAUGGUUGUCGUCAGCUCGUGUCGUGAGAUGUUGGGUUAAGUCCCGCAACGAGCGCAACCCUCGUUCUAUGUUGCCAGCACAUCAUGGUGGGGACUCAUAGGAGACUGCCGGGGCCAACUCGGAGGAAGGUGGGGACGACGUCAAAUCAUCAUGCCCCUUAUGUCUUGGGCUGCACACAUGCUACAAUGGCCGGUACAAAGGGCUGCUAAGCCGCGAGGUGGAGCGAAUCCCAAAAAGCCGGUCUCAGUUCGGAUUGGGGUCUGCAACUCGACCCCAUGAAGUCGGAGUUGCUAGUAAUCGCAGAUCAGCAACGCUGCGGUGAAUACGUUCCCGGGCCUUGUACACACCGCCCGUCACGUCACGAAAGUCGGUAACACCCGAAGCCAGUGGCCCAACCGUUCGCGGAGGGAGCUGUCGAAGGUGGGAC